rnacentral:rRNA from 1 species
CCUACGGGGUGCAGCAGUGAGGAAUAUUGGUCAAUGGACGAGAGUCUGAACCAGCCAAGUAGCGUGAAGGAUGACUGCCCUAUGGGUUGUAAACUUCUUUUAUAUGGGAAUAAAAUGUUCCACGUGUGGGCUUUUGUAUGUACCAUAUGAAUAAGGAUCGGCUAACUCCGUGCCAGCAGCCGCGGUAAUACGGAGGAUCCGAGCGUUAUCCGGAUUUAUUGGGUUUAAAGGGAGCGUAGGUGGAUUGUUAAGUCAGUUGUGAAAGUUUGCGGCUCAACCGUAAACGUGCAGUUGAAACUGGCAGUCUUGAGUACAGUAGAGGUGGGCGGAAUUCGUGGUGUAGCGGUGAAAUGCUUAGAUAUCACGAAGAACUCCGAUUGCGAAGGCAGCUCACUGGACUGCAACUGACACUGAGGCUCGAAAGUGUGGGUAUCAAACAGGAUUAGAUACCCCGGUAGUC